rnacentral:lncRNA from 1 species
UUUUUUUUUUUUGUGAGAGAAUCAUAUUAAACUACUGGAAAAAUCCCACUACGUCAGAGAUUCUCAAAGUGGGUUCCCAGAACCAGCAGCAUCAGUGCUGCCUGGAAACACAGAAAUGCAGAAUCUGGAGUUCUCAUUGCAUCUUGGUGGGUUAAGAGCCUGACAUGGUAUCCAUAAGGAUGCAGGUCCCAUCCCUAGUCUCACUCAGUGGGUUAAGGAUCCAAUGUUGCCACAAGCUUUGGUGUAGGUCCAGAUGCAGCUCGUAUCUGGUGUGGCUGUGGUGAAGGCCUGAAACUGCAGCUGCGAUUCGACCCCUAGCCUGGGAACUUCCAUAUGCCACAGGUGCGGCCAUAAAAAGGAAAAAAAAAGGAAGCAGAAACUUAGACCCCACAUCUCAGACCUAUUGCACUAGAAAUUCUGGGGGAGAGGGGAUGGUCUGGGGGGCUGUGUUUUCACAAGGCCUCAAGAAGACUUUGCUACACACUUAAGGGGGAGAAUCACUGCUCUCAAGUACUGGUUCUCCCAUCCUGGCUGUGCAUCAUAAACACCAAGAGAUCUUUUAAAACUACUGAUAUCUAUCCCACUCCACAUCAAUUACAACAGACAUCUCUCAAGGUGGGGCCUGGGUUUCCAUCUCUGUGAAGUCCCCCAGCUGAUUUAGGUCACACUCAAAAUCAAAAAUCAAAAAUCACCACAGUAGGCAUUUUAGUGACCCCAAAAAACUUUAUUAUUGUGGAUGAAGUACUGCUUUCAAAAAUCAAGGCACAUUUACAUACUGCAGCUGUCACUCAAAUAGGUCUCUCUCUAAUAUGAAGUUUGGAUGUUAGAGAGAAAUAGACAUGCCGGGGAUCACUGCAAGGAGAGGAGAGAUGGACAAAUGAUCAAGAAAAUAAAUGUCAGCCUCUGGGCCUGCAUCAGAAACGAUGUUGGGACAAGGGUUAUAUGAAAAUAAUGCUCCAAAGUGCCCCUGCUCUGCUGAAACAGAAUGUUACAGAAUGUUCUUUUGAAUAUUUACAAUGAGAGACUCAGAAAGAAAACUAGUUAAGGCUGAAGAGUACAGAAAACACUUCUAGAUGCUCUCAAAGACCUAGUUUCUUUUUUUGUCACCAUCCCAAUUUAUGUUUCUUGGUGUUUUUUUGUUUGUUUGUUUAUGUUUUAUUUAUUGUUUUUCUUUUUAGGGCUGCACUUGCAGCAUAUGGAAGUUUCCAGCUAGGGGUCAAAUCAGAGUUGCAGCUGCAAGCCUAAGCCACAGCCACAGCAAAGCAGGAUCCAAGCCACAUCUGUGACCUACACCACAGCUUGUGGCAAUGCUAGAUCCUUAACCCACUGUGCGAGGCCAGGGAUGAAAACUGCAUCCCCAGGAAGACAAUGUCAGGUCCUUAACCCACUGAGCUCACAACAGGAACUCCCCAAAUCAUGUUAACAGUGAUAACUGAUAAUGUCAUUUACUUAAGUUCAAGUACAAGGAGGACCUGGGACCAGGUCGCUAGUCAGACAUCACUGUGUUUGUGUGUGCAGGGGUUCCAUCCAGCUUCUGCUUCAAGGGAGAGUGGUUCUGGCUCAGGGUCUCAGGCAACUGAAAGCAGACCUGUCUCCAAAUCCCUUUCCUCAUAGGCCUCGUGGGGCAGGUAUCCAACUGUAAUAUCUGAAACAUGACCCAUGUGGGCCACAGCCCAGGAAAGCAAGGCUCUGGUCUGGCUCGGCUUCCUCAUCUGGAAACUGGGAUGUCACCUACAUCCCAGUGCCUUCAAAGGAGAUCAUACUUGGGAAGCCCUGCUCUACAAUCAAGUUAUUAUCAUUAAAUUUUAAGUAUGUACUUCUAUGUAACAGCUCCUUCCCUUAUUUCCCAAAUUGCUCUUCACCAGGGCCCCCAAGUUCCAUACUGAAUACCCUACUCCAAUAAAUAUAUUCUCUGUUCCUAGGCUGCAGACAGUAAAUUUGCUACUAUGUGCUCUUCAAUUUCAGUGUAGUUUAUGUUCACCUCAAUGUGACAGUUCACAAGGAUGAGAAAGAGUAAAGCAGUACACUUGGAACACAGACUCUGAGGUCACACCAACAGGGCCUCACACUGGCCACUCCACUUGCAAGCUCUGUAGCUUCAGUAAGGAUCACUUUGAAUUGAAGUCUCAGUUUCUGCAUAUGCAAGUGGAGAUAGUAAUAGUACCCAUUUGAGGGUUAACUAUAAGGAAUGAAUGGAGGAAUCUUUUUUCAUAUCUGAUUUGUAAUCUAUGAAAACAUCUGUCUUAAUUCCAGAAUUAGUCUUUAAAAUAAAUUAGGAGUUUAGGGACGGGAUUAAGAUGGCAGAAUAGAAGGACUGGAGCUCAACUUCUCUCCUAAAAACAACAAAAUUCACAACUAAAGACUGAGCACACUUCACCAAAAUGGACCAGGAACCUUAAAAAAGAUACCCUACUCCAGAAGAAAAAGAGGAGGCCACAUCAAGAGGUAGGAAGGGCGAUUUCACGAUAUAAACAACUCCAUACCUCCUGGGUGGGAAGCUCCACAGACUGGAAACUAACUGGUUCACAGAGACUCACCUACAGGAGUGACAGUUCUGAGCCCCACAUCAAACCCUCACGUGUGGGGAUCUGGCAUAGGGAGAAAGAGCCCUGGAGCAUCUGGCAUUGAAGGUCAGUGGGGCUUGUGUACUGGAGCUCCACAGGACUGGGGGAAACGGAGACCCCAUUCUUACAAGGCACACACAGAUUUUCACGUGCACUGGGUCCCAGGGCAAAGCAAAGUCUCCAAGGGAAUCUGGGUCAAACCUGACUGCAGUUCGUGGAGGACAUCCUGGGAAAACAGGGGUGAAUGUGGCUUGUUGUGAGGGAAGGACAUUGAAAGCAAAGCUCUCGGGAACAUUCAGCAGCAGUGCCUUUCUCUGGAGGUGGCCAUUUUUGGGAAAAUCUGGCCCUACCCGUCAGUCAGUGCUGAGAAGCCCCAGGCCAAACAACAAUCCAGGUGGGAUCACAGCCCCACCCCUCAGUAAACAGGCUGUCUAAAGACCCCCUCAGGCACACAGCUGCCUCUAAUCCC